UACAGAGGGGGCAAGCGUUGUUCGGAAUUACUGGGCGUAAAGGGCGCGUAGGCGGCCUGCUAAGUCGAACGUGAAAUCCCUGGGCUCAACCCAGGAACUGCGUCCGAUACUGGUUGGCUUGAAUCCGGGAGAGGGAUGUGGAAUUCCAGGUGUAGCGGUGAAAUGCGUAGAUAUCUGGAGGAACACCGGUGGCGAAGGCGACAUCCUGGACCGGUAUUGACGCUGAGGCGCGAAAGCCAGGGGAGCAAACGGGAUUAGAAACCCGGUAGUCC
rnacentral:rRNA from 1 species